GUAUGUAAUGAUGACGAGAAUGUACUCUACGAAACAUGGAUUGUGGCGACAUGAGUUUAUUUUGCGCUUUUUCCCGUCUAAUGUCUAAUGAUUAUUUGUGUUUGUGAACACGAUGAGUUUCUGGAAUCGCGCUGUUGUGCUCGCGGUGUUGUCAGUUAUAUUGACGGCUGAUCUCGGGCGGUUUGCGGCAGCAGAUGAUCAGACAAACAGUAAAAGCGAUGAAAACUCUGACAGUAAUAGAGCUGUCAGUGAUGUAGAGGAUCAGAAUACUGCUGAUGGACAGCUGUUCAGGUAUCUGUAUUAUAUUGGUGCACAUGCUGAUCAAAUUCAAGCUUCACUCUUUGCCUGAGAGUGUGGCUGUGGUUUCGCUCGGAAUUCUGAUGGGCGCGUUCAUCAAGAUCAUCGAGUCACAGCAGUUGGCCAACUGGAAGGAAGAAGAGAUGUUUCGUCCCAAUAUGUUUUUCCUAUUACUUUUACCGCCAAUCAUUUUUGAGUCUGGAUACUCAUUACAUAAGGGUAAUUUUUUCCAAAACAUAGGCUCGAUCACAUUAUUUGCCGUUUUUAGGACAACGAUCUCAGCCUUCAUCGUGGGAGGAGGAAUCUAUUUCCUGGGACAGCCCUACUUUUGAAGCUGAAAUAAUGAAUUGGUCAAACUUGGACUUGGAAUAACGAGAGGAAUAACACGGAUAACUUUCUUGUCUGAGGAUUGUAAUGCAUCACAGGCAGUCAGGUACAAGGAAGAGAGACUAUGGCUACUUAAAUUAGGUUUCGGGGGGUGAUCCCGUAUGCCCUCAGUCUUCAUCUGGGUCUGGAGCCCAAAGAGAAGCGGCAGCUGAUCGGCACCACCACCAUAGUCAUCGUGCUCUUCACCAUCCUGCUACUGGGGGGUGGGACCAUGCCCCUCAUCCGCAUCAUGGACAUUGAGGAGAGCCAAUCACGGCACAAGAACAAAAAAUAUAUAAACUUGAGCAAAACUGAGAAAAUGGGUAAUGCCAUUGAAUCUGAACACAUUUGUCGGAGCUGACAGAGGAAGAGGCCAAGUAUCUGAACCCUUUCUUCACCCGUAGACUCACACAAGAUUGCAGAUUAGUCCAGUUAAAUGUAGAAAAAAAAAAAAAUCUGUCGUUCUUCCUCUCUAAGGAUCUGCUGCAUGGGCGGAUUCAGAUGAAAACCCUCACUAAUAAGUGGUAUGAGGAGGUGCGGCAGGGUCCAUCAGGCUCAGACCCAGACGAGCCCAAUAUCCGGACUCUACUGCACUAUGAUGGACUCGCAAAGAACUCCAUGAUUGGAGAUCUUCAAAGCUAAAUGAGGAAAAGAAUAGGAGUAUGUGGUACAAAAAGAGUUUAUAAUUCAUUCUAAUGAAAUUGUGAAUGAAGAAAUUCUGUCUGUGCAUAAUUAAUGUGUUGUUUUGCACAAAGCUGUAGUGGGAAAGUGGCAAAAAACAUGAAUAAAUGAUGGAUUAUGAA